AACAUUCGCCGGAAACGUUUCCGCCCGGAGCCUAUGAGCUGCAAAGGAUGUGGGCAGAACAAGCGGGUCGUCAAUAAUACACGUAGAUCACUUGACGCCUGGAAAAAGUCACUCCUGAAAAAUGCACUUCCAUGGCGUAUGUGCAGUCCUUGUGCUGUGCCUUCUUCAAAUUGAAUCACGCAGUGUGCCAAGAAGAGAUGUCUGUGAGCUCCCCCAUACUCUAGGAGACCUCUAUUGCGCGGCAUACUUUCCAAUGUACACACACGACCCUACUUUGGGCAGAUGUGUUAGGUUUGUGUACGGUGGCUGUAACGGUUCAGCAAACCGAUUCCAAACUCUGGAAGAGUGCGAGGAGCGUUGCCCGAGUAGGACACCCUUCCCUCCUUCGUCGCUGCGCACCCCGGAUAGUGGUCGGUCCAGCAGGACCGCAGCUUUUUAUUCUGCCUACUUGUACUGACGGCAGCUUCUAAUCUGCUACUUCUUUUUUGGCAUGGUACCCCUCGAGUGCUGACGGCACCUGGAUGUCGCUCAUCAGGCGGUCACUCACACGAAAGGGUCUUACAAUUGAUUGUGAAUUAAAGACAUUGCACGAGAUCCGUUUGACGAAA